rnacentral:rRNA from 1 species
CGAACCGUGCGAACGUUGUUCGGAAUCACUGGGCUUAAAGGGCGCGUAGGCGGUUUGCCAAGUCAGGGGUGAAAUCCUGCAGCUCAACUGUAGAAGUGCCUUUGAUACUGGUGAACUCGAGGGAGGUAGGGGUCGCUGGAACUUCUGGUGGAGCGGUGAAAUGCGUUGAUAUCAGAAGGAACGCCGGUGGCGAAAGCGAGCGACUGGAUCUCUUCUGACGCUGAGGCGCGAAAGCUAGGGGAGCAAACGGGAUUAGAUACCCCGGUAGUCCUAGCCCUAAACGAUGAGCACUAGAUUGCAGACUGAUCAUGGGUUUGCAAUCGAAGCAAAAGUGUUAAGUGCUCCGCCUGGGGAGUAUGGUCGCAAGGCUG